rnacentral:rRNA from 1 species
UACAGAGGUCUCAAGCGUUGUUCGGAUUCAUUGGGCGUAAAGGGUGCGUAGGCGGCGCGGUAAGUCGGAUGUGAAAUCUCGGAGCUUAACUGCGGGCUUGCAGCCGAUACGGGCAGGCUAGAAUUCGGUAGGGGAGACUGGAAUUCCUGGUGUAGCGGUGAAAUGCGCAGAUAUCAGGAGGAACACCGGUGGCGAAGGCGGGUCUCUGGGCCGAUAUUGACGCUGAGGAGCGAAAGCGUGGGGAGCGAACAGG